rnacentral:rRNA from 1 species
CCUACGGGAGGCAGCAGUGAGGAAUAUUGGUCAAUGGACGAGAGUCUGAACCAGCCAAGUAGCGUGAAGGAUGACUGCCCUAUGGGUUGUAAACUUCUUUUAUAUGGGAAUAAAAUGUUCCACGUGUGGGAUUUUGUAUGUACCAUAUGAAUAAGGAUCGGCUAACUCCGUGCCAGCAGCCGCGGUAAUACGGAGGAUCCGAGCGUUAUCCGGAUUUAUUGGGUUUAAAGGGAGCGUAGGUGGAGUGUUAAGUCAGUUGUGAAAGUUUGCGGCUCAACCGUAAAAUUGCAGUUGAAACUGGCAGUCUUGAGUACAGUAGAGGUGGGCGGAAGUCGUGGUGUAGCGGUGAAAUGCUUAGAUAUCACGAAGAACUCCGAUUGCGAAGGCAGUUCACUGGACUGCAACUGACACUGAGGCUCGAAAGUGUGGGUAUCAAACAGGAUUAGAUACCCCAGUAGUC